rnacentral:rRNA from 1 species
UACGGGGGGAGCAAGCGUUGUUCGGAUUUACUGGGCGUAAAGGGCGCGUAGGCGGCCAGCACAAGUCAGUUGUGAAAUCUCCGAGCUUAACUCGGAAAGGUCAACUGAUACUGUGCGGCUAGAGUGCGGAAGGGGCAACUGGAAUUCUUGGUGUAGCGGUGAAAUGCGUAGAUAUCCGGAGGAACACCGGUGGCGAAGGCGGCUUCCUGGACCGACACUGACGCUGAGGCGCGAAAGCUAGGGGAGCAAACGGG